UAUUUAAAAUAGGUGAUCUUGGUCAUGUGACUAGAAUAUCCAGUCCACAGGUGGAAGAAGGAGAUAGUCGUUUCCUUGCUAAUGAAGUUUUACAAGAGAAUUAUAGUCACUUGCCAAAAGCGGAUAUAUUUGCUCUUGCACU